CCUACGGGAGGCAGCAGUGGGGAAUUUUGGACAAUGGGCGCAAGCCUGAUCCAGCCAUGCCGCGUGCGGGAAGAAGGCCUUCGGGUUGUAAACCGCUUUUGUCAGGGAAGAAAUCCUUUGGGUUAAUACCUCGGAGGGAUGACGGUACCUGAAGAAUAAGCACCGGCUAACUACGUGCCAGCAGCCGCGGUAAUACGUAGGGUGCGAGCGUUAAUCGGAAUUACUGGGCGUAAAGCGUGCGCAGGCGGUUAUGCAAGACAGAUGUGAAAUCCCCGGGCUCAACCUGGGAACUGCAUUUGUGACUGCAUAGCUAGAGUACGGUAGAGGGGGAUGGAAUUCCGCGUGUAGCAGUGAAAUGCGUAGAUAUGCGGAGGAACACCGAUGGCGAAGGCAAUCCCCUGGACCUGUACUGACGCUCAUGCACGAAAGCGUGGGGAGCAAACAGGAUUAGAUACCCUGGUAGUCCACGCCCUAAACGAUGUCAACUGGUUGUUGGACGGCUUGCUGUUCAGUACGAAGCUAACGCGUGAAGUUGACCGCCUGGGGAGUCGGCCGCAAGGUUGAAACUUAAAGNGAAUUGACGGUGUGAGAGNGACGACGACGACGACGAGGGAGGAGG
rnacentral:rRNA from 1 species